rnacentral:rRNA from 1 species
UCAAGUCAUCACGGCCCUUACGCCUGGGGCGACACACGUGCUACAAUGGCCGGGACAAUGGGUUGCCAAGCCGCAAGGCGGAGCGAAUCCCACCAAACCCGGUCUCAGUUCGGAUCGGGGGCUGCAACCCGCCCCCGUGAAGUCGGAGUCGCUAGUAACCGCAGGUCAGCAGUACUGCGGUGAAUACGUUCCCGGGCCUU